GUCAUAUACAGAUAUGUCACUUAUCGCGGAAUUUAAGUAUAAUGAAAGUCAGCAAAUGUCAACUUUGAGCUCAAACAAUAGUUUAGAUUGAGAAAAUUGCUUAUUAAACGGGAAGAUGAUUUUGAAUUAAUUAAAUUGCUGUAUUAUAUUUAUAUUGCACAACACGAGAGUACUGUAUAGUCAUUCACAACGUGCCUGUCGAACAGAACAAGCUCAAAUUUCUUGGCUGAUUUUCACUUUUAAUUUCAUUGGAGAACAUCGGAAUUUGAGUUUCAG